rfam:Candidatus Nanopusillus sp. Nst1 Nst1_C1, whole genome shotgun sequence.
GGGACCGUAGGCUAGUGGUAGGCUACUGGGUUUGGGUCCCAGUGAUCGGGGUUCGAAUCCCCGCGGUCCCA